UACAGAGACUGCAAGCGUUAUUCGGAUUCACUGGGCGUAAAGGGUGCGCAGGCGGCCAUGUGUGUGAGGCGUGAAAGCCCGAUGCUUAACAUCGGAAUUGCACCUCAAACUACAUGGCUAGAGCAUUGGAGAGGGUAGCAGAAUUCUGAUGGUGUAGCAGUAGAAAUGCGUAGAUAUCGAUGAAGGAAUACCAGUAGGCGAAGGCGGGUCUC
rnacentral:rRNA from 1 species